CUGAAUUGAAAUUAUUGCUAGCUGUUACUCUGUGCAUUUUACAGGUGAGCUGGAACACAAGAAGUCUGGAGCAACAGCAUAUCCAGUGAACUGUGAAGAGCUCUCCUUGAAAGCCCCAGUAGUCAGCGAAUGCAGAUUGUAGUUUUGUCUGAGAUUGCAUAUGUGACUAAUACAGCAACCUAUUUUGAGGAAUUCAUCGCUGUCUUUUGAUCUUCUGCUGAAGUCCAUUAUGUAGAAGAAAGCAUUACCUGUUGUUGACCCAGAGGUAAAAAUGCCAGCAGUCAACUUGCAUAAU
rnacentral:lncRNA from 1 species